rnacentral:lncRNA from 1 species
UUAUUUUAUAGUUUUAUGAGCAAUUUAUAUGUAUAUUAAGUCUUCAAAUAACUUCCAGCUAUCAAACGAAUCAAAACAUUCCUUACCGAUUGAAUUCUUGGGAAAGAUAUUGCUAUAGUCAAAUUUAAAUGAGAAUAUCUCUCGUUAUACUACGAAUUAUUGAGAUCAUAACCUACCAACUGAUAGAUAAUUUAAUUAUCUUUCCAAUGAUACCAAUUUCACCAAAAUCUAAUGUCAGAGCAAAAAGUUAUACCCAUUUUACUCCGGCUUGUCCGCCUGGCAAAUGAGUGACGACAUGAGCUGACGACUUAUCACAAGUCUGAAGACUUAUCAGCCCAUGUCGUCAGGCUUAAAUAGAAACCCAAAAAUUCAAGCUCCCAAGUGACGACCUGUCUAACGAGCUAUCAUAGAUUUGACGGCUUAUCAGCCUUGGUCGUCAGCUGAUAGUUUCAGCAACUGGGAGGUAAUUUCGUGGGGGUAUUUUGGUCUUUUUCUCUCACUCUAAAUGCGAUAUUAAAGUCCUGAGAAAGCUAUUAUCCCAUUAUUUUCUCAUUCUCCUCAAGAACAAGAACACUUUCUCCCAAAGGGGUUAAACCCUAGUCAAGAAAAAUCAAGAACAAGCCUAAGGAUUUCUUCAAGAACCUUAAAGAAACGUUAGAUCUCUUUCAAGAUUCAAGCCGAUUUCACCACUAGUUUUUACGGAUCUUCAAUCUAAGGUAUACGUAGUGUUCAUCCAUGGAUCCCUUUCAUCCAUGGAGCUCAAUAAUCAAGUUUUAAAUAAUAAAUUAUGAUUAUCUUGUUAUGGUAUGAUUAUGUUCGUGUUGAUGGUUGUUAUUUGGGUUUCAAGAUAUUAUCUUAAUGUAUUUCCAUGAAGUAUGUGAGCAUGUUAAAUUGAAAUCAUGAGUUAGGGUGACUUGAGAUUGUUAAAUUCAUAAGUACACCUAUGCUCAAAGUUGUGCAUGUAAGGUGUUUGAUAAAAUGCCUAGAUUGAUAAAAAUCAUGUUUUCAUGACUCAAUAGUACCUAAAGGACAAGUCCAUGCUACCCCUUAUGAUUCAAUAUGAAUUUCAUGUUAUUGUUGUGUCGUUGUUGUUGUGAUAUGAAAUUUCAUGACUCAAUAGUACCUAAAGGACAAGUCCAUGCUACCCCUUAUGAUUCAAUAUGAAUUUCAUGUUAUUGUUGUGUCGUUGUUGUUGUGAUAUGAAAUGUUCAUGAUAUUGGAGUUAUGCAAGUAUGUACAUGUUAUAUGCAUUUCCUACUAUGUAUAAGACGUUAAGGACUAUGUACAGUAUGGAAUCCCUCACUUAUGGUAUUUUGAAUUAUGAACAUUGGUUAUGUGUUCAAGAAGUCAUGUUUUGUCAGUUUUCUUUCAUCGAGUCCUGGGGGUACUUGUACUCGACAAUUUAGCUGUGUGCCUAGAGCCAUGUCAUGUUUCACGAUACUCUCAGUCAAGCCAUGAUCCAUAGAACUCAGUCAACCAUGUGGCUCAGGAAAUCUUAGAAAUCUCAGUAGUUCAAUAAUCUCAGUGAUUUCAGUAUUCCAAGUAAAAUCUCAGUAACUACAGUACUCUCAGUCAGUCCUCAAACAUCAGUACAUUUCGUCAGUCAAUGGAACUCAGUAAACUCAGUUUAGCUCCGCUAAAUAAUACACUAGUAUCAGUUCAACUAAUUAGUUCAGUUCAGUUUAAUUAAUCAGUUCAGUGUCUUUCAAAUAGGAGUAGGAUUCAGCACCGAGCGAGCCUAGGAAUGGGGACUUACCCGCUAGAUAGGUCUGAGAUCCCUAGAAGCAAUCCCUAAGUUCCAAAACUACGUAGCCAGUGUAGGUACGAGAUGUAACCCAUUAGAUAGGACUGACAUACUCAGGGAUCACCCGUUAGCACAUUUAAAUGUGUAGGACUGAUCCUAGGGGUCACCUUCCAGAUUAGGACUGACUCCACAACCGUUGUCUUUACCAGUGGCGCGGUACUGACAACCUUUCAACUGGGGUUAUAGGUUAGACCCCAGACUAGCUAGAAAGGGGCAUGUCGGUUAGAUGAAUACUUUCCACAGUUUCAGUUACAGAUUCAGGACUGUCAGAUACAGUCAACUCAGCUCAGUAGUACAGAUUCAGGACUGUCAAAUAUAGUCAACUUAGCUCAGUAGUACAGAUUUAGUACUGUCAGAUAUAGUCAAUCUUUAUCAUUAUCAGUAGACCUUGGGAUCACCCAUUAGACAGGACUAAUCUCAACUAUGGUCAAUCAGUAUCAGUAACAUUAACAUCAGAUUCAGAGAUCACCCGCUAGGUUGGGCUGAUCUCAGACUAAGUCAAGUCAUCUUUAUUAUUAGUAUACUUAGAGAUCACCCGCUAGAUAGGACUGAUCUCAGAUUUAAUUACUCCAUAUAGAAUGGAACUCAGUUAGUUCCAUCAGAAUCUAGACUUUCAGAUACAGUUUCUCAGUAAUAGUAUCAGUUAUAUCAGUUAUCAUAACUCAAUCAUCAUGUUGUCAUGAACUUAGUCAUGUAGCAUCUCAGUAUCAGUAAACUAAUGUUGUCAGAAUUCAGACUCAGUAGUCAGUAUCACCACGAGUUCUGUUACAGUUACUUAUGCAUGUAUGUAUUCUUACGUUCAUGUAAGUCAACAUUGUUCGUGCAUAUAAAACCCUUUGCAUUUAGCCUACCUCCCUCGUAUACUCAGUAUAUUUAGUCGUACUGACGCAUUUGGGCUAUGGUGUUUUACUUUACGCCAUAAGUUCAGAAGCACGAGGUCCAGACCGUCAGUAGCAUUUCAGAUUCCAACAACAGUAGAUUAGCAGUGAGUCCUCAUUACAUGAGGAUGGUAUGAUUUCUUAUUAUUAUUUACUAUUUCAGUUCAGUAUCAGUAGAUGGAGUUAGUUGGAGACAUGUUCUUUCAACUCCUUAUUCAGUUCAGUUAGAGGCUUUUAUACUAGAUGUCAGAUUAGAUAUUCAGACUUCAUUAUUUUCAGUAUUUAUGUUUUGUUUUGGUAUUGUGAUACCACAUUUUUCAGAUGUUGAUUUUUCAGAUUAUGUUCAGUAUUGAACCUUAUGGCCUUUCAGUUCAUGUUUUCGCAUUUAUAUACAUAUAUUAUGCAGGGUACAGAUAUCAGUCAUGGGUUAACUUGUAGUCCUUUGGGGUCAUGAGCACUGUGUACCAUUCCGAUUCUAGAAACUUGGGGUGUUACACUAGGACAGGUAUCCCUUUCUAUAAUGACCAACAUAUGCAUCCUACGUGCUCUUUGACAUUUAUUUGAAAGGCUAUUUAGUUGUUGACCGGCUUUUAGGUAACUUGGUAAAAUGCAAGAGAGUAUAUUGUCUUCAAAUUUAUUAAAUCACUUUUCAAAGAAAUUAAAAAAUACACGUAGUUUUUUAAGGUCUUCAUGAACUAUGAAGGUCUGAUUCUCACUCUUUAGUGAUAUAUGUAGGAAAUCUUUUCCAGGGUAUGACCCUGUAUUUUAAAAAUUAUUAUUCUCAAAUUUAUUGAAGGAUAUUUUGAAAAAAAUAAUAAUAUUAACAAAAAACUAUUUUCAUGAUUAUUAUUAUUUUAUUUUUUUCCUUUCUUUUCUUUUUUUUUAUCCUCAAAAUUAAUUUUAAUACAUAACUUAACAGUCCGAACCUUUAGGGAUCGUGAGGCUGAGUUUUGCACAACCUCAUAAACAAAGUAAUAAUUUUCUUUUCUUUUAUCUCCUUCUUUAUAAAUUAUUAUUAUUUUAUUACUGAAAGAAAAUGUUAUGUAUAUAUUAUUGACGGAAUUUUGGAUUUUGUCAGAGUGACAUAUACAUAAAAAUGAUUAUGUAUAUGUUAUUUAUAUUUUUUUUUUAAAGGCCAUUUAGCUCAUCCAAACCGGCUCUUUGUCCAUAACCAAGACCAUAGAUCCACGUCUCUAGUUUCCAAAAGCAUCAACGUGGCUGGCUAACAUAGCCAAAAAUUUUGUACGCGGGCACUAAAUUUGCAACUAAAUUCUUCGACACUAUCAUUAGUAAUUCUGGUUCUUCUUUCUUUCGUUCUUUCUUUCAUUCAUCUCCGGACACUAUUCUUAGUAAUUCAGGUACUUUUCUUCCCUCUUUCUUUGCUCUUCAAUUUUGUGUACACCCACUAUGUGUUUGUCAAAAUGUGUGAACAAAUUCAAGUGCCUUUGAUGCUGAUUGUUUUUCUUUGGUAUUAAAAGAGUUAUUAGAAAUCGUUUUAU